rnacentral:RNase_P_RNA from 1 species
GAAGGAGCCCAAGCGGUCGCUGGCCCGGACGGGCCAGAGGAAAGUCCGGGCUCCAAAGGGCAGGGCGCUGGAGAAACUCCAGUGGGCGUGAGCCCAAGGAAAGUGCCACAGAAACAUACCGCCCGGCACUCAUUCAACACUUUGGUGCCCCACUGAUAAUCCCGGCUUACGUUGGAGGGAUCGAUGCCAGUUUUGCUCCAAAGUAUCGAAUGAGUGCCGGGUAAGGGUGAAAAGGUGGGGUAAGAGCCCACCAGCUGCCGGGCGACCGGCAGGCUAGGUAAACCCCGCCCGGAGCAAGGCCGAAUAGGAGGGGAUGAGGCUGCCCGCUGACCCUCGGGUACGGCCGCUCGAGGUCCGGCGCAAGCCGGCCCCUAGAUAAAUGACCGCUACGCACAGAACCCGGCUUAAGGGCUGCUUCUCGC